rnacentral:rRNA from 1 species
CUGAAGGAACGUUGAAGACGACGACGUUGAUAGGCCGGGUGUGUAAGCGCAGCGAUGCGUUGAGCUAACCGGUACUAAUGAACCGUGAGGCUUAACCUUA